GGAUGAUUAGCUCAGUUGGGAGAGCAUCGCCACAAAAUGGCGCUUGUCGCCGGUUCGAGUCCGGCAUCAGCCU
rnacentral:tRNA from 1 species